rnacentral:rRNA from 1 species
CACAUGCAGUCGAACGAGAGAGAGGGAGCUUGCUUCCUCAAUCGAGUGGCGAACGGGUGAGUAACGCGUGAGGAACCUGCCUCAAAGAGGGGGACAACAGUUGGAAACGACUGCUAAUACCGCAUAAGCCCACGGGUCGGCAUCGACCAGAGGGAAAAGGAGCAAUCCGCUUUGAGAUGGCCUCGCGUCCGAUUAGCUAGUUGGUGAGGUAAUGGCCCACCAAGGCAACGAUCGGUAGCCGGACUGAGAGGUUGAACGGCCACAUUGGGACUGAGACACGGCCCAGACUCCUACGGGAGGCAGCAGUGGGGAAUAUUGCACAAUGGGGGAAACCCUGAUGCAGCGACGCCGCGUGGAGGAAGAAGGUCUUCGGAUUGUAAACUCCUGUUGUUGAGGAAGAUAAUGACGGUACUCAACAAGGAAGUGACGGCUAACUACGUGCCAGCAGCCGCGGUAAAACGUAGGUCACAAGCGUUGUCCGGAAUUACUGGGUGUAAAGGGAGCGCAGGCGGGAAGACAAGUUGGAAGUGAAAUCUAUGGGCUCAACCCAUAAACUGCUUUCAAAACUGUUUUUCUUGAGUAGUGCAGAGGUAGGCGGAAUUCCCGGUGUAGCGGUGGAAUGCGUAGAUAUCGGGAGGAACACCAGUGGCGAAGGCGGCCUACUGGGCACCAACUGACGCUGAGGCUCGAAAGUGUGGGUAGCAAACAGGAUUAGAUACCCUGGUAGUCCACACCGUAAACGAUGAUUACUAGGUGUUGGAGGAUUGACCCCUUCAGUGCCGCAGUUAACACAAUAAGUAAUCCACCUGGGGAGUACGACCGCAAGGUUGAAACUCAAAGGAAUUGACGGGGGCCCGCACAAGCAGUGGAGUAUGUGGUUUAAUUCGACGCAACGCGAAGAACC